rnacentral:rRNA from 1 species
ACGCGGGCAAUACCUAUUCCUAUGUGGACGAGGAAAUGCGUAACAGGCUGCAAGUGCGCCUUAUUACCCGCACCCUUGCUUUUCAUGUAGGAUAAUCUUUUAGCCCAUGCGGGGAGCGUGUCCCCUUUCCACGCUUCCCGUUAUGGGCUAUUUGUCGUUCCGUAAAAGCAUAUCGGAAACGGUAUGUUUUUACAGGCUGACAAAGCCUUAUUGUUCCUUGACAAAGAAAGCCUUCGGGCAGAAUAAGGCAGACGGAUACAAUUUGUCUGUGUGGAGCCGGUCGGCCGGUGCGCCAUGACCCUGUUGCAAGUCCGCAGGACGGGACCCCUACCAAACAGGUGAGCGACAAAACCAGGCCGCAAAACAGGUGUGGCAGCCUGUGGGCGAGGAUACGCAGACAGGAUAAUGAGACUCCCGCGUUGAACGCCCUCAAAGCAUUGCGCGGCGCACCCAUCAGCAUGGGCCGGGGUGAGAUUCCCGUGGAGCUGCGGCCAGCAGCCGUCCGUUUUCUGCCUCUUUUAUGGUUUUAAUGAAAUGGCAUGAAAGGGGCCUUAUUAUGCAGAAAAUUCAAUCUGAAAAUAAAUAUGCCCCGCCUAUGCGGAGCCGAAGCGAAAGCGAGUCUUAAGAGGGCGCGAGUUGCAUGCAGUAGACCCGAAACCGGGUGAUCUAGCCAUGACCAGGUUGAAGUUGGGGUAAAACCCGAUGGAGGACCGAACCGACCCCCGUUGAAACGUUGGCGGAUGAGUUGUGGCUAGGGGUGAAAUUCCAAUCGAACCCGGAGAUAGCUGGUUCUCCCCGAAAUAGCUUUAGGGCUAGCGUCGAGAGAAGAGUUGCGUGAAGGUAGAGCACUGAAUAUGUGAUGGCCCCAUCUCGGGGUACUGAGCAUAAUCAAACUGCGAAUGUCACGAGAACAUGCUCGGCAGUCAGACAGCGGGUGAUAAGGUCCGUUGUCAAGAGGGAAACAGCCCAGACCAUCAGCUAAGGUCCCAAAAUGUAUGCUAAGUGGAAAAGGAUGUGGAGAUGUACAGACAACUAGGAGGUUGGCUCAGAAGCAGCCAUCCUUUAAAGAGUGCGUAACAGCUCACUAGUCGAAUGACUCUGCGCCGAUAAUUUACCGGGGCUAAGCAUACUACCGAAGCUAUGGAUCCCAAGGGAUGGUAGGGGAGCGUUCCAUGAACGGAGAAGUACGACCGAAAGGACGUGUGGAGAUCAUGGAAGAGAGAAUGCCGGUGUGAGUAGCGGAACGUGGGUGAGAAUCCCACGCACCGAAAACCCAAGGUUUCCAGAGGAAGGUUCGUCCGCUCUGGGUAAGUCGGGACCUAAGGCGAGGCCGAAAGGCGUAGUCGAUGGACAACAGGUAGAGAUUCCUGUACCCGUAUAUAUGUGAAGGAAUGACGGAGAGAGGAAGCUGCAGCCAGCGGCUGGAAGAGCUGGUGCAAGCGAGAUAUCGGGAUGGCAGGCAAAUCCACCAUCCGAAACGAGAAGGCGUGAAGCGUACGGAAAGCUACGGCGAGUACGGAAGGCAGUGGAGGAACUUCCAAGAAAAGUUUCUAACGUUAAGUAUAUAUGGCCCGUACCGAAAAUGGACACACAUGGGUGAGGAGAGAAUCCUAAGGUGAGCGAGAGAACUAUAGCUAAGGAACUCUGCAAAAUGACUCCGUAACUUAGGGAGAAGGAGUGCUCAUAGAGAUAUGAGCCGCAGUGAAACGGCCCAAGCGACUGUUUACCAAAAACACAGCUCUCUGCUAAGCCGCAAGGCGAAGUAUAGGGGGUGACGCCUGCCCGGUGCUGGAAGGUUAAGGGGAGAGGUUAGCGCAAGCGAAGCUUUGAACUUAAGCCCCAGUAAACGGCGGCCGUAACUAUAACGGUCCUAAGGUAGCGAAAUUCCUUGUCGGGUAAGUUCCGACCC